rnacentral:rRNA from 1 species
AAGACCUUUGCGCUUUUGGAGCGGCCGAUGUCUGAUUAGCUUGUUGGUGAGGUAAAGGCUUACCAAGGCUUCGAUCAGUAGCUGGUCUGAGAGGACGGCCAGCCACACUGGGACUGAGACACGGCCCAGACUCCUACGGGAGGCAGCAGUGGGGAAUUUUGGACAAUGGGGGCAACCCUGAUCCAGCCAUGCCGCGUGAGUGAAGAAGGCCUUCGGGUUGUAAAGCUCUUUCAGCCGGAACGAAACGGUUACGGUUAAUACCCGUGACUACUGACGGUACCGGAAGAAGAAGCACCGGCUAACUACGUGCCAGCAGCCGCGGUAAUACGUAGGGUGCAAGCGUUAAUCGGAAUUACUGGGCGUAAAGCGUGCGCAGGUGGUUUUGUAAGACAGAUGUGAAAUCCCCGGGCUUAACCUGGGAACU